rnacentral:rRNA from 1 species
UACAGAGGGUGCGAGCGUUAAUCGGAAUUACUGGGCGUAAAGCGCACGUAGUCGGCUUUGCAAGUCGGUUGUGAAAUCCCCGGGCUCAACCUGGGAACUGCAUCCGAGACUGCAUUGCUAGAGUAUGGGAGAGGAAAGCGGAAUUUCUGGUGUAGCAGUGAAGUGCGUAGAUAUCAGAAGGAACAUCAGUGGCGAAGGCGGCUUUCUGGACCAAUACUGACGAUCAGGUGCGAAAGCGUGGGGAGCAAACAGG